AUUGAACGCUGGCGGCAGGCUUAACACAUGCAAGUCGAGCGGAGCGAGGGUGCUUGCACCUUAGCUUAGCGGCGGACGGGUGAGUAAUGCUUAGGAAUCUGCCUAUUAGUGGGGGACAACAUUCCGAAAGGAAUGCUAAUACCGCAUACGCCCUGCGGGGGAAAGCAGGGGAUCUUCGGACCUUGCGCUAAUAGAUGAGCCUAAGUCGGAUUAGCUAGUUGGUGGGGUGAAGGCCUACCAAGGCGACGAUCUGUAGCGGGCCUGAGAGGAUGAUCCGCCACACUGGGACUGAGACACGGCCCAGACUCCUACGGGAGGCAGCAGUGGGGAAUAUUGGACAAUGGGCGGAAGCCUGAUCCAGCCAUGCCGCGUGUGUGAAGAAGGCCUUUUGGUUGUAAAGCACUUUAAGCGAGGAGGAGGCUACUUAGAUUAAUACUCUGGGAUAGUGGACGUUACUCGCAGAAUAAGCACCGGCUAACUCUGUGCCAGCCGCCGCAGUAA
rnacentral:rRNA from 1 species